rnacentral:rRNA from 1 species
AGUGAACGCUGGCGGUAUGCCUAACACAUGCAAGUCGAACGGAAGCACAGUAAGAGCUUGCUCUUACGGGUGGCGAGUGGCGGACGGGUGAGGAAUACAUCGGAAUCUACUUUUUCGUGGGGGAUAACGUAGGGAAACUUACGCUACUACCGCAUACGACCUACGGGUGAAAGCAGGGGAUAUUCGGACCUUGCGCGAUUCAAUGAGCCGAUGUCGGAUUAGCUAGUUGGCUGGGUAAAGGCCCACCAAGGCGACGAUCCGUAGCUGGUCUGAGAGGAUGAUCAGCCACACUGGAACUGAGACACGGUCCAGACUCCUACGGGAGGCAGCAGUGGGGAAUAUUGGACAAUGGGCGCAAGCCUGAUCCAGCCAUACCGCGUGAGUGAAGAAGGCCUUCGGGUUGUAAAGCCCUUUUGUUGGGAAAGAAAAGCAGCAGGUUAAUACCCCGCUGUUCUGACGGUACCCAAAGAAUAAGCACCGGCUAACUUCGUG